GGAAGGAUCAUUAACAAAACAAACAACAACACAACCCUGUUGAAAUGCGAUGCCUUUCCCGCGAGAGCGGGGAGGGAAUUUUAAAACAUGCCACUUUUAAAAAAGACACGCUUAGAAAUAGUAGUAGUAGUAAUACGAAUGAAUGUCUAAACAACUUUUAACAAUGGAUCUCUUGGCUCUUGCAACGAUGAAGAACGCAGCAAAAUGCGAAAAGUAUUGUGACAUGCAAUCUUCGUGAAUCAUUGAAUUUUUGAACGCACCUUGCACCACCUGGCCCUGUCAGGUGGUAUACUUGUUUGAGUAUCACAACCACGUCACGCCUCCUCCUUGCGGGGGGGCGUGGACCUGAGCGAUCGAGACGGCCGAAGGGCUUCUUGGGCCGGAACGUCGCUCCAAAUCGAGGCCCCUGUUGUGGCGCUGCAGCGCGCAGGCUCACGGUCUACUACUGGGAUAACAUCCAACAACAACAACAGCAGUAGACGGCGAGGCGGCACGCAUCAUGCACGCUCCAGCAGAGGGCAAAAGGUCCACCCGAGGGGGGACACAAGGCGCGCAAGCAGCCUCCACAAAGAUCUCAAAUCAAGCAAGAACACCCGCUGAACUUAAGCAUAUCAGUAAGCGGAGGAAAAGAAACUAACAAGGAUUCCCUCAGUAACGGCGAGUGAAGCGGGAAAAGCUCAAAUUUAAAAUCUGGCAGCACCGCUGUCCGAAUUGUAUUUGAAAGAGCUGUCUUGGCACGGAGGGGGCGGCCCAAGUCCUCUGGAAAGAGGCAUCAAAGAGGGUGAAAGUCCCGUCCAGGCCGCCGUCCAAGGUCACAUCAAGACAGCUCAAAGAGUCGGGUUGUUUGGGAAUGCAGCCCAAAAGGGGUGGUACGUUUCAUCUAAGGCUAAAUACAGGCGAGAGACCGAUUUAGCGAACAAGUACCGUGAGGGAAAGAUGAAAAGAACUUUGAAAAGAGAGUUAAAUAGUACGUGAAAUUGUUAAAAGGGAAACGAUUGAGGCCAGUGAUGCGGGACCCAUUUCAGCCUAGCCUGUGGGGUAGGUGUAUUAUGGGGCCGCAGGUCAGCGGCCAUUCCAAGCCAGGGACAAGACAGGGGGAAAGGUGGCUCUACUUGUAGACGCUUUAUAGGCCCCCUGGGAUACCUGGGUCGGGAUGGAUGCGCAACGCGAGCUGACGAAAUGGCCUCAAACGACCCGUCUUGAAACACGGACCAAGGAGUCUAACAACUAUGCGAGUAUUCGAGUGGCAAACUCGGCUGCGUAAAGAAACUGAAUGCGUGGGAGCAGGGCGCGUGCUCUGUGCACCAUGGGCCGGUCCUUGUCGCGACUUGGAUUGAGCUGGAGCAUAGCUGCUGGGACCCGAAAGAUGGUGAACUAUGCCUGAAUAGGGUGAAGCCAGAGGAAACUCUGGUGGAGGCUCGUAGCGAUUCUGACGUGCAAAUCGAUCGUCAAAUUUGGGUAUAGGGACGAAAGACUAAUCGAACCAUCUAGUAGCUGGUUCCCUC
rnacentral:misc_RNA from 1 species